UAUAGAUUAUUUACUGGGUUAGAAAAAUCUUCUAUCUCUCGACUUUCUAUCUUCAUUAUCUCUUCGGCUUCUUCUCUUUCUCAAGAAACUGUACACCUAUGAAACAGAGAUUGCUAGGUUACAUGGAAAUAUAAGAAACACAACAAACCACAUAUCUCAAACAAAAAGAUUAGGAACAUGGGGGAAGAACACGAAGGAGAUUCAGUUAUCCGGGUCAUCACUACGGUGGCGUGUCCAUGCCAGCCGAUGGAACUGUCGCCGGUGUACCUUCAAAGAACCGCCGUCUCGGAAGCACUGCCGAUAGAAAUCCCAGUGACUGACUUGCGGUAUUCGCCGGGGCUCCACCGUCCUCUAGCAGAGGCAGCCCCUUCGACCGACGAGCCAUCACUUGGUUAGUGCUCAUGUCGUUAUUACUGUAGGAUGGUGGAGAGGUGGAGAUUUCUGGAUCUCCUACAGAGAAGGCUAUUCUGUCUUGCGCGUAUAAGGUAUCAAAUGUUUGUUUAUUCUGAUAGCCAGAAGGUGAUGUGACACAACAUUUGUAACUACCAAUCUCUCCAAGUUCUUAUUAUUGGUGCUAGAGAGUAAAUUAGGAGGACUAUAAGAUUCGCCUGUACUUUGCUCUCAUAUCAAAUAUCAAUAACAUUUCUGGUUUGGAAAUUAUUUGACACGAGUUUUUCAGACUUGCUAUUGAUGCCAUGGCGAAAAAUAGCCUGCGGUGUGUGGCUAUUGCAUGCAGAACACAAGAGCUGAACAAAGUUCCCAAGGAACAGGAGGACUUGGAUAAAUGGUCUUUACUAGAAGAUGAGUUGACUUUGCUUGCUAUCGUUGGUAUAAAGCAGUGAGAACUUGCACCAGUGCUGGUGUUAAGGUAGAUCCCACCAAGACCCCCGAGGCUCUCCUAUGGAUCCACUGCUCCAUGGAUCCAAAAACGGUAUCGGAAGAGGGAGAAGAGAAGCACCACUGAAAUGUCACCGGACGCCAACUACUCUGUCAGUAAGCUCAGACGCUGAAGGAGGGGUGGGUGGGAGCCGGCCUGACUGUCCGGAAUGGCUCCACCUGAUGCGAUCUCGAAAAUUUGGGAGAGAAAGAGGGGCGCAUGCCUGAUGCGUAUGAAAACCGAGGAACACCUCUAACCCUACAAAUAAGAGGGGGCUAAGACUGGAAUCAAGCUUCACAAACACGCUCUUUGAGUUUAUCUUCACUCGAAACCUAGAGCCCUUCUUCGGACAUAUCAUCCUCCGAUGCUACUGUUGCCCCAUCAGCCGUCAGCCACUCAAAAUUUGAAGCUCUCCCACAUGCGACUUCCCAAUUCAUUGUUUUCCAUACAUAUAUUUUGUCAGGCAACACUCUUGCUUGUACAGGUAACCUCUAUCUGACCUCCACACCAUCUACCAAAUUUUACUAUGACACCAACAUUCCUGCCAUCAAAGAGUUCACAAGCAGCUUGGGAGAUGCAGCAUCAGAGGUUCCCAUGUGUUGAUACCAUGGAAGAGAUCAAAAAGAAAGAGCUUGUGUAAAUUGGAGAUAUAAACACGCUAAUCUUCAACUCUAACGAGCAGGUAAUACUCACGUCAACAAGUUUUGUUAGUCACAAGAUUGACCGAAAACAAUAUUGUUUUGGUCAACUCCAGUCCUGUUAAGCUUCAGUUUAUAAACAUUUGUUAAAUUAGUUUGUAUAUGUGAAUUGUGAGGCAUUGAGAAACACAUGUCUAUAAUCUGGCUUAGCAGUUCAAAGGCUUUUGAAAAUCA